rnacentral:rRNA from 1 species
UACGUAGGAGGCGAGCGUUGUCCGGAGUUACUGGGCGUAAAGGGUGCGCAGGCGGCGGUGCGCGUGGCGAGAUGAAAUCUCCUGGCUUACCUGGGAGGGUGGUCGCCAGACGGCAUCGCUUGAGGGUCGGAGAGGGGCGUGGAAUUCCGGGUGGAGCGGUGAAAUGCGUAGAGAUCCGGAGGAACACCAGUGGCGAAGGCGACUUCCUGGCCUGUUCUUGACGCUGAGGCGCGAAAGCUAGGGGAGCAAACGGG